UUCCGACAAGGGCAAACCAGCCGCGAGGCUGGGACGCAAAGCCGAGGGUCAGGCGGGUCGCCUGAUGGCCGGGCUGCCGAA
rfam:Candidatus Rokubacteria bacterium RIFCSPLOWO2_02_FTLL_72_37 rifcsplowo2_02_scaffold_19845, whole genome shotgun sequence.